UACUCUUUUUUGAAUCAUAGUUGUUUGCUGCAAUGCUUAAGGCAGGGCUGGUACAGAGUAAUUCUGGAAAAAAAAAAAAAAAUGAAGAGAGGUCUUGUUUGUUUUUGUUUGUUUAAGACCUAUUUUUACAUAUUGACAUUAUAGCUACCAAGACACAGAAAGAGGGCUUCUACUAAAUGUACUGAAGGCUCAGUUGGAAAAGAUCAAGGACAUUGAAAAUGAAAAGAAAAAGAACGGUGAAGGAAAAGAACCCACACUGGGAAUUUUAUACCAGGAAGUUGCAGCUGUGUUCAUAUGCCAUGAAGCUUCAGUUACAGGAGGGAUUUCCAUAGCCCACAAGCUCGAAAAUAUCAUGGUGACUCCAGAGACUCAGAAACCAAACAAAAUCAUCUUUCUGUGACUCAGUACUGGAUGGGUUAUUGGAAUCUGUGACCAAAAUACAUCUGUGGAGACAAACACAAGCUCAGCCUUAUUCUUUUCCUUGAGCCAGCCAAGCACUGCUAAUAAAUCACCAGAAGCAGCAAUAAUGGGACACACAGCGCAAAUGAGGGAUGUAAAGCAUCAUUGACCAAAAUAUCUUCUGUAGAACGUGAGUAACAGUCUUAUCCCAGGGCAGAAGGACCAGAUGUGAAGUGAUUCACAAGCAAUAUGAGGUAUGAGCUGGCAUGAAUGCUGAAUUCGUCCUGAAAAUCUAGCCCUGUGUUUUCUGGAGCCACUGAAGGGGGAAGCCUGAGUUCAUUAAGUAAUUAUUGCCCAAGGAGGUGGCAGCUGAUGCCAAGAGAGAGGAUGAGAUCACUUUGAUUUCCUAUCUGGCCUUUUGGACCUGCUCAGUCUGUUCCUUUGAGGGGCAACAGAAUAAUCGACUGGAGCAUCCUGAGAUACUUUAUUUUUUAACCAUAUGUCUCUGUGUUUAUUACUGAGUAUGAGAUCAGAAGACCAUAUGGACUGACUUGGGGAUGAUAUUUUAAGAAAUUAUUAAACUGAUUCAUUGUAAGUGCAAUGGAUAAACACAAAGACAUGACAAAUGGGAUCAUUAAUAAUUUGAUAAUGUUUUGGACGCAGUUACAGUUAACAGUAUACACUGAUGUCUCACAGAAGAAGCAAAAUGUGUUUUAAGAUAGCAAGAGACAUGGGAUUGGCAAGUAAACAAAUGACAGCAACCAAACCCCCACAGCUUUCAACAGAUUGCCCCCAAAGAUCUGAUUGUCCCAAUUCAAUUCCAUUAGACUCGAGAGAAUAAUUGCGACCAUUGCCAUCUCAUGCCAGUGCUAGUCUAACACCUCUUUCUCACAAUAGUAACACCUCAUAACCCAGUGUUUGCAAGGUCUAACCUAUUCCAGCUGCAGGAACCCUGCUGGACCUCCCCCUUAAGAAAAGAUUUUCGCUUUCUUCCACCUGAGAUGAAAACACAAUAGCAGUUCUUUCCAAAAAACACUUUGGAGCUCUGUAUUCUCAAUUGUUCUCUGAUCUCCACCCUGACCCACCAAACCAUUCUCAACAGUGAAUUGAUAGUAAAUGCUAAAUAUCAAUGGCAAAUACCUAUCACCUAUUUCUAUUAUGUAAGAAUAAUAGCUUUCAUUAAUUACCAUAUGUAAUGCACUGAGCAAUAUGGUAAGCAUAUUUUGAAAAGUGUAAAUUUAUUUUCACAAGCUAUAGACUACACUCUAUUAUUAUUAUUACAAGUAUUAUUACUAAUUUUUUAAUUGUAAUAAUAAUAGAAUGUAGUCCAUAGGUUAUGAGAAUAUUAUUAUUACUAGCUACCAUUUAUUGCAUGCCUACAUUGUUACAGACACCAUGUUGAAUGUGUUAUAGUAUUUAUAUUCUCAACACUCUAUGUGAUAGGUAUUAACCCUGAAUACUCAUUGGAAGGACUGAUAUUGAAGUUGAAGCUCCAACACCUUGGCCACCUGAUGCCAAGAGCCAACUCAUUGGAAGAGACCCUGCUGCUGGGAAAGACUGAAGGCGAAAGGAGAAGGGGCAGCAGAGGAUUAGGCAGUCUAGCUUCUGAAACUUCAUCCUUAACUGCCGUGCACUUCCUAGAUCAACCGCCUUCCACCCCAAUGCCCUUUCCAUAUCCAUUUCUUCACCAGGGGUGGCUGGAGCCACCGCACACCAAUUUGCAAAAACCAACUGUUAAAAUGUCAGGAAAUUUGUAAACAGGUGACCAAACAUAGUCAGUAUUAAGAAUUAAAUUUUAGAAAUCUGUAAUCAAAUUAAUUAUA